rnacentral:rRNA from 1 species
GAUGAACGCUGGCGGCGUGCCUAAUACAUGCAAGUCGAGCGAACAGACGAGGAGCUUGCUCCUCUGACGUUAGCGGCGGACGGGUGAGUAACACGUGGAUAACCUACCUAUAAGACUGGGAUAACUUCGGGAAACCGGAGCUAAUACCGGAUAACAUGUUGAACCGCAUGGUUCAACAGUGAAAGACGGUCUUGCUGUCACUUAUAGAUGGAUCCGCGCCGCAUUAGCUAGUUGGUAAGGUAACGGCUUACCAAGGCAACGAUGCGUAGCCGACCUGAGAGGGUGAUCGGCCACACUGGAACUGAGACACGGUCCAGACUCCUACGGGAGGCAGCAGUAGGGAAUCUUCCGCAAUGGGCGAAAUCCUGACGGAGCAACGUCGCGUGAGUGAAGAAGGUCAUCGGAUCGUAAAACUCUGUUAUUAGGGAAGAACAAAUGUGUAAGUAACUAUGCACGUCUUGACGGUACCUAAUCAGAAAGCCACGGCUAACUACGUG